CCUACGGGUGGCAGCAGUGGGGAAUAUUGGACAAUGGGCGAAAGCCUGAUCCAGCCAUGCCGCGUGUGUGAAGAAGGCCUUCGGGUUGUAAAGCACUUUCAGUGGGGAAGAAAGCCUUGGGGCUAAUACCCUCGAGGAAGGACAUCACCCACAGAAGAAGCACCGGCUAACUCCGUGCCAGCAGCCGCGGUAAUACGGAGGGUGCGAGCGUUAAUCGGAAUUACUGGGCGUAAAGCGCGCGUAGGCGGUCUGAUAAGCCGGUUGUGAAAGCCCCGGGCUCAACCUGGGAACGGCAUCCGGAACUGUCAGGCUAGAGUGCAGGAGAGGAAGGUAGAAUUCCCGGUGUAGCGGUGAAAUGCGUAGAGAUCGGGAGGAAUACCAGUGGCGAAGGCGGCCUUCUGGACUGACACUGACGCUGAGGUGCGAAAGCGUGGGUAGCAAACAGGAUUAGAACCCAGUAGUC
rnacentral:rRNA from 1 species